rnacentral:ncRNA from 1 species
GCCAUGAGAGGCCGGUGUUCACCCCGCCGCGUACUCGCGCGGGCUGUUCUGAGAUGAUACGGUCGAACUUGAUCUGGAUAAUUCCAGCGAAAGGAUCCCUCAUGCUUUACCCC